rnacentral:rRNA from 1 species
UAAAAGAAAUCAUUUUUAGUACUGCCUGCUCAAUGAUUUCCUUAAAUAGCCGCAGACCCCUGUGCUAAGGUAGCAUAAUCAUUUGCCUAAUAAUUGUAGGAUAGAAUGAAAGGUGAAACAUGUAAUCUCCUUUAUUAAAAAGGUUAUUUUAAUUUAUAAUUUAAGUAAAAACCCUUAAAUUAUUAGGGGGACGACAAGACCCUGUCGAACUUUACAGUUAUGUUUAGCUGGGGCGGCAAAAAAUAAAACCUUUUAUCUUUUUACUAGCCAUCCUCAAAAUGAGAUUAAUCAAGUUACCGCAGGGAUAACAGCAUAAUUUCUUCCUAAAGACCUAAUAAAAGAAGCAGAUUAUGACCUCGAUGUUGAAUUAAAAUUCCUUUAGAAGCAACACUCUAAAAAGAAGGUCUGUUCGACCUUUAAAUAUUU